rnacentral:rRNA from 1 species
CGCUAGCUACAGGCUUAACACAUGCAAGUCGAGGGGCAGCAUGGUCUUAGCUUGCUAAGGCCGAUGGCGACCGGCGCACGGGUGAGUAACACGUAUCCAACCUGCCGUCUACUCUUGGACAGCCUUCUGAAAGGAAGAUUAAUACAAGAUGGCAUCAUGAGUCCACAUGUUCACAUGAUUAAAGGUAUUCCGGUAGACGAUGGGGAUGCGUUCCAUUAGAUAGUAGGCGGGGUAACGGCCCACCUAGUCUUCGAUGGAUAGGGGUUCUGAGAGGAAGGUCCCCCACAUUGGAACUGAGACACGGUCCAAACUCCUACGGGAGGCAGCAGUGAGGAAUAUUGGUCAAUGGGCGAGAGCCUGAACCAGCCAAGUAGCGUGAAGGAUGACUGCCCUAUGGGUUGUAAACUUCUUUUAUAAAGGAAUAAAGUCGGGUAUGGAUACCCGUUUGCAUGUACUUUAUGAAUAAGGAUCGGCUAACUCCGUGUCAGCAGCCGCGGUAAUACGGAGGAUCCGAGCGUUAUCCGGAUUUAUUGGGUUUAAAGGGAGCGUAGAUGGAUGUUUAAGUCAGUUGUGAAAGUUUGCGGCUCAACCGUAAAAUUGCAGUUGAUACUGGAUAUCUUGAGUGCAGUUGAGGCAGGCGGAAUUCGUGGUGUAGCGGUGAAAUGCUUAGAUAUCACGAAGAACUCCGAUUGCGAAGGCAGCCUGCUAAGCUGCAACUGACAUUGAGGCUCGAAAGUGUGGGUAUCAAACAGGAUUAGAUACCCUGGUAGUCCACACGGUAAACGAUGAAUACUCGCUGUUUGCGAUAUACUGCAAGCGGCCAAGCGAAAGCGUUAAGUAUUCCACCUGGGGAGUACGCCGGCAACGGUGAAACUCAAAGGAAUUGACGGGGGCCCGCACAAGCGGAGGAACAUGUGGUUUAAUUCGAUGAUACGCGAGGAACCUUACCCGGGCUUAAAUUGCAGAUGAAUUACGGUGAAAGCCGUAAGCCGCAAGGCAUCUGUGAAGGUGCUGCAUGGUUGUCGUCAGCUCGUGCCGUGAGGUGUCGGCUUAAGUGCCAUAACGAGCGCAACCCUUGUUGUCAGUUACUAACAGGUUCCGCUGAGGACUCUGACAAGACUGCCAUCGUAAGAUGUGAGGAAGGUGGGGAUGACGUCAAAUCAGCACGGCCCUUACGUCCGGGGCUACACACGUGUUACAAUGGGGGGUACAGAGGGUCGCUACCACGCGAGUGGAUGCCAAUCCCCAAAACCUCUUUCAGUUCGGACUGGAGUCUGCAACCCGACUCCACGAAGCUGGAUUCGCUAGUAAUCGCGCAUCAGCCACGGCGCGGUGAAUACGUUCCCGGGCCUUGUACACACCGCCCGUCAAGCCAUGGGAGCCGGGGGUAC